rnacentral:rRNA from 1 species
GACGAACGCUGGCGGCGUGCUUAACACAUGCAAGUCGAACGGAAAGGCCCUGCUUUUGUGGGGUGCUCGAGUGGCGAACGGGUGAGUAACACGUGAGUAACCUGCCCUUGACUUUGGGAUAACUUCAGGAAACUGGGGCUCAUACCGGAUAGGAGCUCCUGCUGCAUGGUGGGGGUUGGAAAGUUUCGGCGGUUGGGGAUGGACUCGCGGCUUAUCAGCUUGUUGGUGGGGUAGUGGCUUACCAAGGCGUUGACGGGUAGCCGGCCUGAGAGGGUGACCGGCCACAUUGGGACUGAGAUACGGCCCAGACUCCUACGGGAGGCAGCAGUGGGGAAUAUUGCACAAUGGGCGGAAGCCUGAUGCAGCAACGCCGCGUGCGGGAUGACGGCCUUCGGGUUGUAAACCGCUUUCGCCUGUGACGAAGCGUGAGUGACGGUAAUGGGUAAAGAAGCACCGGCUAACUACGUG